GACGAACGCUGGCGGCGUGCUUAACACAUGCAAGUCGAACGGAAAGGCCCUGCUUUUGUGGGGUGCUCGAGUGGCGAACGGGUGAGUAACACGUGAGUAACCUGCCCUUGACUUUGGGGUAACUUCAGGAAACUGGGGCUAAUACCGGAUAGGAGCUCCUGCUGCAUGGUGGGGGUUGGAAAGUUUCGGCGGUUGGGGAUGGACUCGCGGCUUAUCAGCUUGUUGGUGGGGUAGUGGCUUACCAAGGCUUUGACGGGUAGCCGGCCUGAGGGGGUGACCGGCCACAUUGGGACUGAGAUACGGCCCAGACUCCUACGGGAGGCAGCAGUGGGGAAUAUUGCACAAUGGGCGGAAGCCUGAUGCAGCAACGCCGCGUGCGGGAUGACGGCCUUCGGGUUGUAAACCGCUUUCGCCUGUGACGAAGCGUGAGUGACGGUAAUGGGUAAAGAAGCACCGGCUAACUACGUG
rnacentral:rRNA from 1 species